rnacentral:rRNA from 1 species
GACGAACGCUGGCGGCGUGCCUAAUACAUGCAAGUAGAACGCACAGUUUAUACCGUAGCUUGCUACACCAUAGACUGUGAGUUGCGAACGGGUGAGUAACGCGUAGGUAACCUGCCUGGUAGCGGGGGAUAACUAUUGGAAACGAUAGCUAAUACCGCAUAAUAUUGAUUAUUGCAUGAUAAUUGAUUGAAAGAUGCUAUUGCAUCACUACCAGAUGGACCUGCGUUGUAUUAGCUAGUAGGUGAGGUAACGGCUCACCUAGGCGACGAUACAUAGCCGACCUGAGAGGGUGAUCGGCCACACUGGGACUGAGACACGGCCCAGACUCCUACGGGAGGCAGCAGUAGGGAAUCUUCGGCAAUAGACGAAAGUCUGACCGAGCAACGCCGCGUGAGUGAAGAAGGGUUUCGGAUCGUAAAGCUCUGUUGUAAGAGAAGAACGGGUGUGAGAGUGGAAAGUUCACACCGUGACGGUAUCUUACCAGAAAGGGACGGCUAACUACGUG